UGCAAUUCACUCCACCUUCCCACAACACCUAGCUUCAAAAGGUAGCAAGUAACAUAGUGGGAUAGCUACCCACAGUACAUUACUCUCACAGUCGAGCAGAAGGAGCAUAGUGUGAACAUGCACAAGUGAUGUAAUUAUUUGUUUUUUGAUCAUCAGCUUAUCUUUUGUCCCCAAAACUAAGGCGUAGACAAGGCUUUAGGGAAGUGGAGGAGAUGGGGAAAAAUGAGGACAAGAAAAGGGAGAAGGCAAAACGGAACCAAACUGUGCGGUGGUGAAGGAGAUGACGUGUGUGGAGAGGAAGAGGAAGGAGAUUAGUCAAUUUACUGUACUGCAAAUAGCUGGUGAAGCCACAAGGAUAAUUUCUCCUGAAUUCUGCGGGAAUCCAGACUGCCUAGAAUCUGGCACCAAGAGAAUGUCAUUGCCUUGCUGAAACCUGGGAAAGAUCCACACUUGCCUUUGAGCUACAGACCAAUUUCACUUCUAAGCAUAUAUUCUAAGGUGCCUGAGCAUCUGAUUUUGCAAAGAAUUUCACCAUCUGUGGAAGGCAUGCUGGCACCAGAAGAAGCUGUUUUUUGUCACCGUCACAGUGCAUGUGAUCAAGU